rnacentral:tRNA from 1 species
GCUGAAGUGGCGGAAUGGCAGACGCCGGGGACUUAAAAUCCCCUGUUCGCAAGGACGUACGGGUUCGAGUCCCGUCUUCAGCACCA